UACGAAGGGGGCUAGCGUUGCUCGGAAUCACUGGGCGUAAAGGGUGCGUAGGCGGGUUUUUAAGUCAGAGGUGAAAUCCUGGAGCUCAACUCCAGAACUGCCUUUGAUACUGAAAGUCUUGAGUAUGGGAGAGGUGAGUGGAACUGCGAGUGUAGAGGUGAAAUUCGUAGAUAUUCGCAAGAACACCAGUGGCGAAGGCGGCUCACUGGCCCGGAACUGACGCUGAGGUGCGAAAGCGUGGGGAGCAAACAGG
rnacentral:rRNA from 1 species